rnacentral:rRNA from 1 species
UACGUAGGGUGCGAGCGUUAAUCGGAAUUACUGGGCGUAAAGCGUGCGCAGGCGGUUUUGUAAGCCAGAUGUGAAAUCCCCGGGCUUAACCUGGGAAUGGCAUUUGGGACUGCAAGGCUUGAGUGCGGCAGAGGAGACUGGAAUUCCUGGUGUAGCAGUGAAAUGCGUUAGAUAUCAGGAGGAACACCGAUGGCGAAGGCAGCCUCCUGGGCCAACACUGACGCUCAUGCACGAAAGCGUGGGGAGCAAACAGG